rnacentral:rRNA from 1 species
GACGAACGCUGGCGGCGUGCCUAAUACAUGCAAGUAGAACGCACAGUUUAUACCGUAGCUUGCUACACCAUAGACUGUGAGUUGCGAACGGGUGAGUAACGCGUAGGUAACCUGCCUGGUAGCGGGGGAUAACUAUUGGAAACGAUAGCUAAUACCGCAUAAUAUUAAUUAUUGCAUGAUAAUUAAUUGAAAGGUGCAAUUGCACCACUACCAGAUGGACCUGCGUUGUAUUAGCUAGUAGGUGAGGUAACGGCUCACCUAGGCGACGAUACAUAGCCGACCUGAGAGGGUGAUCGGCCACACUGGGACUGAGACACGACCCAGACUCCUACGGGAGGCAGCAGUAGGGAAUCUUCGGCAAUGGACGAAAGUCUGACCGAGCAACGCCGCGUGAGUGAAGAAGGUUUUCGGAUCGUAAAGCUCUGUUGUAAGAGAAGAACGGGUGUGAGAGUGGAAAGUUCACACUGUGACGGUAUCUUACCAGAAAGGGACGGCUAACUACGUG